AUAAAGAUGGUUGAGCAGUCCGUUCCUGUUCAUCUCUCUUUCUCUCAGCGUAAAUUUUUUAUGCCUUUUGACAUUAUAUCGAUGCGUCUUCAUCUUCUCACCCUCUUCCCAUCCUCACUAUAUAAAUGAUGCCUUUUGACACUCAAAUCUAAAUAUUCUUCACACAGUGCAGCAAUUGCCAAAACACCAAUUCUCGCCAUCGCCUCCUAUCUAGGUUACAGCGUCGCUCCUCCAUAGCAUUCGUAGAAUGCACUGCUACAGUUUGCGAGAGUGGUGAAGGCCAAAUAACAAGUUGUAGGCUAGAAAGAGGAAGUUUUAAGAACCCACAGUGUGUGUGAAGCCAUGGAUGAACUUCAAGUAGUUGCAUGAGUUUAUACAUGCCAGUAAUGAUGCGCCUACCAUACUCUCUCAGAUCUUGGUUGCCAAAAAGGAGGUCCUGAAAACAUCCAAAUCACAGCUUUUGCCAUUGCCUUGAAACAAGUAGCCAUUCCAGAGAACAAAGCUUGCAUACAGCAGAUGAAGAAAACGCAAGUUUUAGCAUUGGCUCUGCUUAGAAGAAAAUGCAGACUGGUUACAGGUGUUGUUGUGGGAUCUCACUCCUUUGGGCUUAACUGGUACGAGAAUUCAUUCAACGUUACCUACCAGAUUUUAGAGUGUGUCUGAUUUUCAGGGAAAGUCAGACACACUGGUGUGUUAGAUGUGCCAUAUAACCUUAAACAAGACUGCUAUAUUUGGUGACAAUGGUUGAAUGGUACUAUAUCUCUUGGAGGUGUAACUGUGGACACCGGAGGCGACAACCCGAGGCUGUAUAGAGUCUGAUUUCGAGUCAAUAACGGACUUUCUGAUGAAGGCAACUCAUAUAACAAGUGCGUUGCAGAGAAAACAUGGUUAGCCGCACAAGGAGUUUGUGAAGAGUCUAUGUGAGAUUAGGAACCGAGUCGAAGCAUUCGCUUUGCAGUAUGAGAUGCAUGCUUCUAGCUAUCAGAGAGAUAUAGCAACUGCUCAACAAGUAUCCAAAACAAGCGGCGCUCCCGCGAAGAAUUUUGAUUUCUAAGUUUUGAAGCCUAUAACUCUUUAGAGUAUCAUCACCAGUGAGCCAAACGGUUGCCUCUUCUGAGUCACUCUCAGAUUGGAUGCUUGACAGUGCUUCCAGCUGCUAUUACAACCAGACCAAUGGUCUGGCACUAUGACUCAGAUUGUGGAUUCAAUUACAGUUACGUAACAAUUAUAGUUUUUUCAUUUUCUUUCGGAUAGAAUUGUAUACAAUUUCUUUCUUCAUGUGGGAUUACACUGAUAAUCAAAAAGGACGUUGGAUGACACAAGCUGAAGCAUACACUGCGGUUGAAGAAUACGAGGCAAUAGGCAACCAAGUCAAGCGUGCCUAGGAUGGUUGGUAAUAUGGUUUAUGGAGGAAGUCCAGUGUCAGCUGCACUCUCUGUUGGGAGACGAGAGUUCUAUGCUCUGUUUAUUGAAGAAGGUUUAGAUUGGAGCAGUAUCCCUUGGAAAAAGGAAGCCAUGAAAAGUUUUGAGAAAGUCAUCAAACUCGCUGAAAAAAGUAAAUUUUGAAGCAUGACAUGGUUGCUGAUAAGAGAUACUUUGUCUGAGUUUGAUCCUGAUUUAAGUAUGAUGGAAUAUGAACAAGAAGGUUAUGGAUUGACUAGGAGUGUAGGGUCUUCUUCAAGGAGGGAUAUAUUUUUAGUGGCACAAGAUCAAGAAAUCUGCUUCGGGGAUGUUUCAUUACGGAUGAACUUUUAAUGCAAUGCAUGUGUAGGAUUGAGGGAGAGUAGUAUGUAUUUUAAAUUCCCACUACUCCACUCCGUACAUUUUCGGAUUCUAUGCAAUGCAUGUGUAUGAGUGAGACUAGCUUUGUAUGCAUUUUAAAUUCCCACUAUUCUAUUUCAAACUUUCUUGGAAUC